CAAUCUGAAACAUUAAUGGAUCGAAGACACCUCAAAGGCUGUUAUCCCGCUUUUCACCCGGUUGCCACUAUAGGCAAUAGUCAUGCCUUUAACACGCAAAGGAAACAAGCGGUUCCAUUUAAAAAGAAGCUGACUUGUACAACUUUCUUUGAC